AACCGUGACUCCUUAGAUGCUCCAGCCAUACUGGUUUCCUUUCAGUUUUCAGAACCUGCCAUCCCAUUUGCUACUUGUCUGCUUAGAAUGCAUUUUUCCCAGCUCCUUUUGUGGCUGGCUUAUUCUUACCUUUCAGUUCUUUCAGUUCGAAUAAUAGCCCUGUAAAAGAGUGUUCUGUCUAAAAUUGUCCUUCCUGUUUAUAUUUUCCAUAAUACUAAUAACAGUCUGAAAUGCUCUUGUUAAUUUAUUUGAUUACUCAUUUUAUUUAUUUAUCUUUUGCACUAUGAUGUCAGUCCCACAAGGAUGCAAACUACGUUUACUACCUUCUUUUCUACCUUUUGCACUUUUCCUAAUCACAUUGGGAAUAAAAUGUUGGGCAAGUUAGAAUACUCCAAAAUAUUUCAUUUACCUUAAAUUUUACUCAAUCCUACAUUUUAUUACCUAUACUCAUAAGAAUUGUAUUAUAAAAUACAUUGUUAAACGAAUGUUUUCAGUGCUCCAUUGAGAGUCGGUGGAGCACACUGGUUGGGAGAAGACAGAGCUGUGAGCCAUCCGUCUGCCUGUGCUUGAGUCUUGGCUCUGCCAUUGACUAGUUGUAUGAACUGCCGCAGGUGGUUCAGCCACUCAGAACCUCUGUAAAAGUGAGAUGUAAAAACACUUUCUACAUCAUAGGAUUAUUGUGAAGAUUAAAUGUGAUAUGUUGUAAAAUUCUGGUCACACAAGUAUUAACUUACUGUUAUUUUUGCUGCCACUGCUAUUAAUUAAUGGCAGUGUGGCGGCUCAGUACUAGGCAAUGGGCGUGCAACUGUGAUGAGAAACGCUUCUGUCCAUUAAAUCGUUCAGUCAGUGGAAGAGACAUGUAUGUAAAUAGGUAAGUUACCUACCAUACAUUGUGCCAAGACCUCUCACAUUAUGUGAACAGAAUAUUAAAGAAUUAUAAAAGAGGGAGCAAUUGCCUCUGUUAAGUAGACAGCAAAGAUGCCUUAUAGGAAGUAGCAUUUGAGACAGAUUAAGUUUCUUUUUAGGUAAAAAUAUGUCCCCUAGAGAUAAUAAUAAAAUAAUAGCAACGGAUACCUAUGUACUUCUUUUACUAAUGCACCAGAGUCUGUUUUACAUAUAUUCUCUCAUUUAAUCCUUACAGCAACCUUAUGAAACAGUACUGUUAUCACCUUGAUUUUACAGAGAAGGAAAGUGAGCCAAAGAGAGGUUAUGUGGCAUGCCCAAGGUCAUAUAACUAUUAAAUGUCAGUGCUGGGAUCUCGUACAUUUUCACUCUUAGGACAUCUGUGCUAUCCCUGCUUAGUCACUUUGGCAUCCCAGUGGUGCUGUACUUUUGCUUUCAUAAUACAUGGAAGCCCUGGAAGGAUUCAGUAAAGAGCCAGUUUCACCCUGUUAGCCCUUGUUGCUUUAUUUGUAAAAUGUCAACUGUAAAAGUAUGCACCUACCUUAUAGGGUGAUUAUGAGAAUUAAAUGAGAUAAUUCAGGUAAAGUGCUUAGCAUAUUGCUUGGCAUAUGGUAAGCAUUUAACAAAUGUUCCCCGUAACUACUACUACGACUGCUAUUAUUAUUAUUAUGCCAUAUUGAAAUGAGAUCUGUGAUCCCUUGUGACCUGCCCGAGCCCCCCUUCUCAUGUUAGCAUCCAUGCUGGUAUAUCCACUUCCAAAGAGAACAAGUUCCCAGCAGUUGAAAUGGCAUCCUACCCAGGUUGCUAGCACCAUCCCUCAGCUGCUUCUCCAACUGCCAUAACUGCCUUAGUCAUUUAAAAAUUACUCUUCUCGUUUUAUAUUUCAACUCAGAAAUCGAUGCAUCUGUGAGGCAGUUUGUUUUCCUGGGGAAGUGUAAGGAGCGGUGGUGGUGGCAUGGAGAUGCGCUCCGUUUAGACUCAAUAUUGCCACCCACUCCCUCUGCAGUGUCAGAGAACAGUCUCAGAAAGAUCUGUUCCUUUCUUUCUAGACUCAGUACCACAGACUGGCCUAUCCUCUGCAACUUUGCUUAGCAGCAGGAGUAGAGAAGUAUUGAUUGCCCACAACUUGCCUUUAAGUCUUGUUUCUGUGGUGCAGGAUUUUUAAAAAGCAUUUAAUGUUUUCCCUGCCUUGAAGACUUCAGAACCGUAUAAAUGCCACUGUUUAAAGUCCUGUCCCUGCUGAAAACCAGGGCAGGUCUCAUCACAGCCCCAUCUCCAUUUUCCUUUUGUUGAAGUGGGUCUGUGUGAGAGCGGGCUGUGCCCUCCUUCUCCACAGGGUGGGGAAAAGGCAGCCCUGUAGUAAGGAGGUUGAAUAGCCUCGCUCACUUUGCCUCCUGCUUGAGGUGGACUCCGUGUUCCCAGAGAUGUUGGGCCUGGUUUAGCCAGUUGUUAAACUGAAGCAGGGUUAGCUUACCCUUGAAGUGUUUUUGUUUGUUUGUUUUUGUUGAGACAGAGUCUCGCUCUGUCACCCAGGCUGGAGUGUAGUGGUGCGAUCUCGGCUCACUGCACCCUCCGCCUCCCGGGUUCAAGUGAUUCUCCUGCCUCAGCCCCGGAGUAACUGGGACCACAGAGAAAGCAGUGGUCUUGGCAGGUCGUGGGCUGGCAAGUCUUUGUAUCAUUUUUUUCUGCUGAGCACCAAACUCUUCUGGCAGUUUUUAAAUUGAGAUAUUGGUAAAUUAUUAAAAAACCAUAAAUUUUCUUCUAGAUGCUAAGUAACUCUUAACAGUCUUCUGAGUACUAUGUCCUUAGUGCCUUUCCUGGAAAUACCAAAAGGCAAACAUCCCACUUUAAUAGAAGUGAUAAUUGUAGUACACAUUCUUAAGAGAAUGCCUCCUUAUGCCUACAUUUUUAUUGAGGGCUUUGUCUACAUACAUCCAGAGUCAACUUAACUUUUGGACCCAAUUAACUGAUUGGCCUGAUGAAUUUAAUUAAAAUAGGGGAAGUGCUUGUACAGAGAGGAACAGCAUUAGUAUAAUGUGGUGGUUAAGAUUAACAAGAUUGAUUUGACUUGAUAAUUAAUUAAUUUGAUUAACAAGAUAAUUUAGUGUCAGGCGGAGACCUAGGUUCAAAUCCUUACUAUAGAUGACCUUGGUUUUAAACUCUUUAAGUCUCAUUUUUUCCCCAUCCAUUAAGAUGUCAUAAAAACACUGACCCCAGAAGGUAGUGAGAACUGGGGAGAUAAGUUAGGGAAGUGCUCAGCACAACACUUGGGCCAGUCACUGAUGGACGGUAGUACCUUUUGUUAUUUUCUAGUAUUUUUAAAUGCAAUUUUGUGGAGGGUGAAAUGGGGAUUACACAAUAUAGCGAUUUCCUGUUAACACCUACAUUUUUGCUGAUCAAGCAAGGUCUGUUGGUGCGAGAGCUUAACCUUUAUUUUAUUUCCAAAUGUGUUUUUUAUUCCGAGUCCCGUUGGUGUCUAUGGUUUCACUUUUCUCCAUGAGCCACAUGUUAAAGCCUGCCCUGACUAAAUGAAGGAGUGUAAGCAGUGGGAUAGACAUUGCAGGCAGGCGAAACUGGGAUAAGCCCCAGAAUCUUUUGAACCUAUCAGUAAUAUUACUAACAGGGAGAAAGUAUAAAAGUGAGCGCUUCAAGUGCUCUAGUGUACAUGUCAAAAUUAAAGCACGAGUUCCACGGGAUGGCUCACCACCCUCCCUUAUUUAUAAAACAGAAGUAUCUUUUGAGCCCGCUGUGCCCUCCUCCC
rnacentral:lncRNA from 1 species